rnacentral:rRNA from 1 species
CCCUUAGAUGUUCUGGGCCGCACGCGUGCUACACUGAGUGGAUCAGCGGGUCAGGUUGCGCGAAAGCGUUUCCUAAUCUUUAAAUCCGCUCGUGAUGGGGAUUGACGGUUGCAAUUUUCUGUCAUGAACGAGGAAUACCUUGUAAGCGCGGGUCAUCAUCCCGCGCUGAAUACGUCCCUGCCCUUUGUACACACCGCCCGGCGCUCCUACCGAUUGAGUGGUCCGGUGAGGCUUUGGGAUCUGAGCGGAAAGAGCGUUUCGCUGUUUCUGCUCGGAAAACUCAGUCGAACCUUAUCAUUUAGAGGAAGGAGAAGUCGUAACA